GCUGGGCGUGGUGGUGUACACCUGUAAUCCCAGCAACUCAGGAGGCUGAGGCAGGACUGUAAAUUCAAGACCAGCCUCAA
rnacentral:sRNA from 1 species